rnacentral:rRNA from 1 species
CCUACGGGAGGCAGCAGUAGGGAAUAUUGGACAAUGGGCGCAAGCCUGAUCCAGCCAUCCCGCGUGAAGGAUUAAGGCCCUCUGGGUUGUAAACUUCUUUUCUCUGGGAAUAAAAACCGGUAUUCAUACUGGCUUGAAGGUACCAGAGGAAUAAGCACCGGCUAACUCCGUGCCAGCAGCCGCGGUAAUACGGAGGGUGCAAGCGUUAUCCGGAUUCACUGGGUUUAAAGGGUGCGUAGGUGGCUUUGUAAGUCAGUGGUGAAAUGCCGCAGCUCAACUGCGGAACUGCCAUUGAUACUGCUUAGCUUGAAUCACGUCGAGGUGGAUGGAAUAAUACAUGUAGCGGUGAAAUGCUUAGAUAUGUAUUAGAACACCGAUUGCGAAGGCAGUUCACUAGGCGUGUAUUGACACUGAGGCACGAAAGCGUGGGGAUCAAACAGGAUUAGAUACCCUGGUAGUCCACGCCCUAAACGAUGUAAACUCGACAUUAGCGAUAUACUGUUAGUGUCCAAGCGAAAGCGUUAAGUUUACCACCUGGAAGUACGACCGCAAGGUUGAAACUUAAGGAAAUUGACGG